rnacentral:rRNA from 1 species
GAUGAACGCUGGCGGCGUGCCUAAUACAUGCAAGUCGAGCGAACGGACGAGAAGCUUGCUUCUCUGAUGUUAGCGGCGGACGGGUGAGUAACACGUGGAUAACCUACCUAUAAGACUGGGAUAACUUCGGGAAACCGGAGCUAAUACCGGAUGAUAUUUUGAACCGCAUGGUUCAAAAGUGAAAGACGGUCUUGCUGUCACUUAUAGAUGGAUCCGCGCUGCAUUAGCUAGUUGGUAAGGUAACGGCUUACCAAGGCAACGAUGCAUAGCCGACCUGAGAGGGUGAUCGGCCACACUGGAACUGAGACACGGUCCAGACUCCUACGGGAGGCAGCAGUAGGGAAUCUUCCGCAAUGGGCGAAAGCCUGACGGAGCAACGCCGCGUGAGUGAUGAAGGUCUUCGGAUCGUAAAACUCUGUUAUUAGGGAAGAACAUAUGUGUAAGUAACUGUGCACAUCUUGACGGUACCUAAUCAGAAAGCCACGGCUAACUACGUGCCAGCAGCCGCGGUAAUACGUAGGUGGCAAGCGUUAUCCGGAAUUAUUGGGCGUAAAGCGCGCGUAGGCGGUUUUUUAAGUCUGAUGUGAAAGCCCACGGCUCAACCGUGGAGGGUCAUUGGAAACUGGAAAACUUGAGUGCAGAAGAGGAAAGUGGAAUUCCAUGUGUAGCGGUGAAAUGCGCAGAGAUAUGGAGGAACACCAGUGGCGAAGGCGACUUUCUGGUCUGUAACUGACGCUGAUGUGCGAAAGCGUGGGGAUCAAACAGGAUUAGAUACCCUGGUAGUCCACGCCGUAAACGAUGAGUGCUAAGUGUUAGGGGGUUUCCGCCCCUUAGUGCUGCAGCUAACGCAUUAAGCACUCCGCCUGGGGAGUACGACCGCAAGGUUGAAACUCAAAGGAAUUGACGGGGACCCGCACAAGCGGUGGAGCAUGUGGUUUAAUUCGAAGCAACGCGAAGAACCUUACCAAAUCUUGACAUCCUUUGACAACUCUAGAGAUAGAGCCUUCCCCUUCGGGGGGGACAAAGUGACAGGUGGUGCAUGGUUGUCGUCAGCUCGUGUCGUGAGAUGUUGGGUUAAGUCCCGCAACGAGCGCAACCCUUAAGCUUAGUUGCCAUCAUUAAGUUGGGCACUCUAAGUUGACUGCCGGUGACAAACCGGAGGAAGGUGGGGAUGACGUCAAAUCAUCAUGCCCCUUAUGAUUUGGGCUACACACGUGCUACAAUGGACAAUACAAAGGGCAGCGAAACCGCGAGGUCAAGCAAAUCCCACAAAGUUGUUCUCAGUUCGGAUUGUAGUCUGCAACUCGACUACAUGAAGCUGGAAUCGCUAGUAAUCGUAGAUCAGCAUGCUACGGUGAAUACGUUCCCGGGUCU